UCUCAGGAUUCCGUGUAAGCCAUGACUAUGUAAAUAAGUAGCUCUUUCCCCAGGAUCUAGAACAAGGACAUGAUGAAAUAUCUGCUGUUGCCGCAGGUGGUUAUUAACAUAGGGGGAGACUUUCUUGGAAACGGAUAAAGGAAAGAGUCCAGUAAUUUGUAGCAAUGUGACUACAGCCACACAUGCUCUAGAAUUAAUGUUCUUCAUUAGGACUGAGGUUACAAAAAGGCUUCAUGUCCAUCCUGCUAAUACACAUGUUGUAGGGGCUCCAACUCAGUCGAUGCUUGUACGGUAACCACCAAACAAAGACAGUGUUUUCCUUACAGCUUGAAUUUUCCUUUACUUGCACCAUCUAUGAGUUUCAUAUAACUUCACAGAAGCUGAAAAGAGGAUGUUUGGGCAUGCAUAUGACUCCAGUGACUUUCAUGAUCACCAACAGAGAACAUGGACAAUUUGCAGGAAUCAAGACCAU
rnacentral:lncRNA from 1 species